UUCAGGAAGGCGCUGGAGGAAGCUCCUCUCGUGACUAAAUCUCUGCGAGAGUCUCAGAUGAAGGAGAAGAUGGACAGGUAUCCGAAGGUGGCGCUGAGGGUCCAGUUUCCGGACCGCCACGUUCUUCAGGGCUUCUUCAGACCUCUAGAAACAGUCGCUGCUUUGAGGAGCUUCAUCAGAUCUCACCUGCAGGACCCACAAAUGCAGUUUUACCU